UACGAAGGGGGCAAGCGUUGUUCGGAAUUACUGGGCGUAAAGGGCGCGUAGGCGGCUUACCAAGUCAGGCGUGAAAUUCCCGGGCUCAACCUGGGGGCUGCGCUUGAUACUGCAAGGCUGGAGUCUGGCAGAGGGGGGUAGAAUUCCACGUGUAGCAGUGAAAUGCGUAGAGAUGUGGAGGAACACCGAUGGCGAAGGCAGCCCCCUGGGCCGACAUUGACGCUCAGGCACGAAAGCGUGGGGAGCAAACAGG
rnacentral:rRNA from 1 species